rnacentral:lncRNA from 1 species
UGGAUCCAUUGCCCUGGAGAAACCAACUGUCACAUCAUGGAGACAAGCAGACGGAUGAGGAACUGAGGCCUCCAGCCAACAGCCAGAGAGGAGCUGAUUCCUCAGGCUGACAGCCACAUGUGAGGUGAUCUGGCUCCAACGUCUGCCACCCAGGACACAUUUGCAAUGCUUUAUGGCACUUUUUGUUUACAAGUCAGAUCUUCCCCAUUGGAUGGCAGCCCCUCAUGGACCAAGACCACAUCUUACUCUGAGCAUAUGAUGAGGAAAAUGAAGCUGAGAGAAUAACUGCUCCUUAGUGAAGACAGCAGAAGUGGCGACUUGCACUGGCCUCUUCUUGCCAGUGGCAAGCUCAUUCUUAGUCUCUUCUUUUUGGCAAUGGUGCUGGCCAUUGAAUCACAAGUUGACACCACCAGGAUGAGGAACAAAGAACAGGAACAACAAUGCUAACUUGAG